GUACAGACUAUUAAGAUAACCAUGAUCUCCCCAUGGUGGAGCCUAGUGUGCAAUGGAUGCGAACAAUAGGUAGCCUUCUUGGUAGUAUCCCCAGGCUAUGGCUUCUAUAGGUUGUUGUAAGGGACCGUGGAGACCAGC